rnacentral:rRNA from 1 species
UACAGAGGGAGCAAGCGUUAUCCGGAAUGAUUGGGCGUAAAGCGUCUGUAGGUGGUUCGUAACGUUUAAUGUCAAAUACCAGGGCUUAACCCUGGACCGGCAUUGAAGCACUCACGGACUUGAGUACGGUAGAGGCAGAGGGAAUUCCAGGUGUAGCGGUGAAAUGCGUAGAUAUCUGGAGGAACACCGGUGGCGAAGGCGGCAUCCUGGACCGCUAUUGACGCUGAGGCGCGAAAGCCAGGGGAGCAAACGGG